rnacentral:lncRNA from 1 species
GUCCACUAGAGGGGGUGCUCCGCGGGGCCGGCGGGAGGAAGGCAAAGACACCGACACAGCAUCCCGUCCUGCUGGCCUGCUCUUUAGUUGUCAUGGAUUUGAAAUUAUUCCUUUCCUCCCGAUUGAAUUCUGUACUACAUGCUCUCCAGUCCUUCCUAAUGAGGCUUAAAAAUAUACACCUCAUUGAGAAGAAAAUGUUUUCCUUCAGACAAAAGAGAGUGGUGAUUCAGCUGUAGGCAAUACAGAGCAAUGUCAAAUUCUUCUCUCAGUCAAAUUUAUCUCUCUUCGAUUUGAGGUCCAGUAAAAGGUAAGUCAAAAUCUAUCUUACCUUUGGUUCUAUUUAGGAGCUAGUUCAUAAUGGAUACUAGAUGCAAAGCUUAAUUAUUAUAUUGCUCAGUUAUUUGAAUAUUUUUAAGAAAUUAAUCAAAGAUCUUUUCAUGAACAAAAGGCAGAAAAAGGUAAGAAAAAUUUAAAAGCCUGAUUUGCAUGUGCAAAUAACUGUGGAAUGAGCUCACCUAAACUUGCUUGCCAAUGACCUCAACCUUGAUCUGGAAAGAUCAUUUAUUCACAAGUAAAACAUUCAUAUUCUCUAUGCUCACACUGUCUUGGAUCUUUUCUCAAGGUAGAUUACUAACCGCGAUGUUAGUCUAUGCAUAAUAUCUGCAUGUACCAACA